rnacentral:lncRNA from 1 species
CUGUGCUGGGGCAGUGUGAGGUGUGGGACAGACUCAGACAGAAACCCAGCACCAAACCAGUAAAGCAGGCACGGUGAAGGUGAUCGUGAUCAGGGGCAGUGGGGACGGGUCACCCAGGAGCAGACGGCAGGAGCAACAGGAGGAGACCCACAACUUGGAAUCAUCGAAAUCGAGACUUCAGCUCAGGGAAGGACGUGGCCAUCAAAACGGGCAGAGCACAGGAGACGGUGCACAGAACCAGCCCCUCCAGCAAGGGGGCCAAAGGAGGCAUCAGGGUGAAGGAUUCGGACAUGUCCUGAUGGAGAGGCAGAUGACCCAGGGGAAGUGAACAGGUCUCCACAGACCCUUCACGUGGAUGGCCAACACACGCGCUCGGGCAGCUGCUCUGAGUUAUAAGCCACCAGAGAGACGUAGAUGAAAACCAGAGUGGUCAUUGGGCAGCACCACCACAAGGUGACACAGUCUUGGCCAGCUAGAACUUGUCACAGAGGGCAAGCACAGCACCGUGCCAGACCCCUGAGCAGAGGCUCGAGGCUUCUCGUGUGGCAGUGCCUCUGGACCCGCAGGUCGGCAGGUGCACAUCCAAGAGCCCACGCAAAUCCACGUGCACAGAAAGAAUCGCCCCCGGGUGUCCACAGCUGCCUUCCUCACGAUGUCUGACCGCUUGUUCAACACACCUAUCAACGGGGGCACUAAAAGUGACAGCUUCAGUGUGAAAUAUCGGCAAGGACAGGAACCACGGGGUUCUGUGAUUCCAUCAGGGGGAGAACCCGGGACGAUCACCCUGAGAACGGCUUGUCCUCACCGCGUGAGGCGUCUGCACAGGCCGCAGUCCAGGCCACGUGGUGUCCAGGCUCAGGUAGUGCCACGCCCUCACCUGUGGGCCUCAGGGAACACACGAGAGCGGCUCAGAGGUUGUGUGUGCAGUCGUGAGUCACACCACGCGCCCAGCGAUCACAAAAUGAGUAAGGCCCGCCACCGCCACCGUGAUCCUGGCACCGUGAUCUCCACGAUCCAGGGUGCUGUGCCCGCGCUAAGGCGGGGGUCUCUGAAGAACAGCUGGAGGUGCCUUUCUGUUUGGGCUCUCUGCCUUGAAUCAGCAAAACUGGGACAUGUGUGUGCACUGGGAGCUCGAGGGCUGGACUCUGCCUAGCCUACAAGUCCUCUGCUGCCUGCUCCUCCUGUCCUGGGCUCCAGCAGGGAUUUCCAUGGGGAACCACAGUGUGGAGGGGGUGGGGUCACUGGG